rnacentral:rRNA from 1 species
UACGUAGGGGGCUAGCGUUGUCCGGAUUUAUUGGGUUUAAAGGGUGCGUAGGCGGCCCGUUAAGUCAGUGGUGAAAGCCUCCAGCUCAACUGGAGAACUGCCAUUGAUACUGGCGGGCUUGAGUACAGACGAGGUUGGCGGAAUUGAUUGUGUAGCAGUGAAAUGCAUAGAUACAAUCAAGAACACCGAUUGCGUAGGCAGCUAACUAGGCUGUAACUGACGCUGAGGCACGAAAGCGUGGGGAGCGAACAGG